rnacentral:precursor_RNA from 1 species
UUAAGUACGUUACGAUCGGCUAGUUAUUUUGAGUUUAGCUCUUCGUUACUUACUUAAAU